rnacentral:rRNA from 1 species
GAUGAACGCUGGCGGCGUGCCUAACACAUGCAAGUCGAGCGAUUCUCCUCGGAGAAGAGCGGCGGACGGGUGAGUAACGCGUGGGUAACCUGCCCUGUACACACGGAUAACAUACCGAAAGGUAUGCUAAUACGAGAUAAUAUGCUUUUAUCGCAUGGUAGAAGUAUCAAAGCUCCGGCGGUACAGGAUGGACCCGCGUCUGAUUAGCUAGUUGAUAAGGUAACGGCUUACCAAGGCGACGAUCAGUAGCCGACCUGAGAGGGCGAUCGGCCACAUUGGAACUGAGACACGGUCCAAACUCCUACGGGAGGCAGCAGUGGGGAAUAUUGCACAAUGGGCGAAAGCCUGAUGCAGCAACGCCGCGUGAGCGAUGAAGGCCUUCGGGUCGUAAAGCUCUGUCCUCAAGGAAGAUAAUGGCGGUACUUGAGGAGGAAGCCCCGGCUAACUACGUGCCAGCAGCCGCGUAA